UACGUAGGGGGCAAGCGUUGUCCGGAAUCAUUGGGCGUAAAGAGCGUGUAGGCGGUUCGGUAAGUCGGCUGUGAAAGUCCAGGGCUCAACCCUGGGAUGCCGGUCGAUACUGCCGGACUAGAGUUCGGAAGAGGCGAGUGGAAUUCCCGGUGUAGCGGUGAAAUGCGCAGAUAUCAGGAGGAACACCCAUUGCGAAGGCAGCUCGCUGGGACGUUACUGACGCUGAGACGCGAAAGCGUGGGGAGCAAACAGG
rnacentral:rRNA from 1 species